GGGGGCGACUGGUUUCGACAUGGUAUGUCCGAACCGGGGAGCAGGUCGUGGUCUCCUCGCCACGUUAAACAGGGGUACCGUCAAUUUAAUUGGCAAGAACAACUCCUACAGCGCUUCUGCGCUGCCCAUGGCUGCUUAAUUGCGCCAUGCCGUCAACUCCGGGUAUUUCCCCGUCCCGGACGCGACGUCAUCUCAGGGGAAUGCGCUUCGGCACGUAGCCGGUAUGGCCGAAGCUAAGACCGAACCGACUCGAGGGAGCGGCGUUUGCCGAUGAACCUCCGCUUCCUCUAAACGCGAUCAGCGGAUAAGCUUGUAGAGCCUCGGGGAGGGUAUAGUAUGGACCGGAGUUCGAUUCUCCGCGCCUCCACCA
rnacentral:tmRNA from 3 species